CAGUCGCCGCGGGAAUACGUAGGGUGCAAGCGUUAAUCAGAAUUACUGGGCGUAAAGCGUGCGCAGGCGGUUUGUUAAGACGGAUGUGAAAUCCCCGGGCUCAACCUGGGAACUGCAUUCGUGACUGGCAAGCUAGAGUAUGGCAGAGGGGGGUGGAAUUCCACGUGUAGCAGUGAAAUGCGUAGAGAUGUGGAGGAAUACCGAUGGCGAAGGCAGCCCCCUGGGCCAAUACUGACGCUCAUGCACGAAAGCGUGGGGAGCAAACAGGAUUAGAUACCCCCGUAGUCCCUGUCUCUUAUAC
rnacentral:rRNA from 1 species